rnacentral:rRNA from 1 species
UACGUAGGUGGCAAGCGUUGUCCGGAUUUACUGGGCGUAAAGAGCGCGCAGGCGGCUGGGCAAGUCCGAUGUGAAAGCUUCCGGCUUAACUGGAAAAUUGCAUCGGAAACUGCUCGGCUUGAAGGUGGGAGAGGGUAGCGGAAUUCCUGGUGUAGCGGUGAAAUGCGCAGAUAUCAGGAGGAACACCAAUUGCGAAGGCAGCUCGCUGGGACGUUACUGACGCUGAGACGCGAAAGCGUGGGGAGCAAACAGG